GACGAACGCUGGCGGCGUGCUUAACACAUGCAAGUCGAACGGAAGGGCCCUGCUUUUGUGGGGCGCUCGAGUGGCGAACGGGCGAGUAACACGUGGGUAACCUGCCCUUGUCUUUGGGAUAACUUCAGGAAACUGGGGCUAAUACCGGAUAGGAGCUCCUGCUGCAUGGUGGGGGUUGGAAAGUUUCGGCGGUUGGGGAUGGACUCGCGGCUUAUCAGCUUGUUGGUGGGGUAGUGGCUUACCAAGGCUUUGACGGGUAGCCGGCCUGAGAGGGUGACCGGCCACAUUGGGACUGAGAUACGGCCCAGACUCCUACGGGAGGCAGCAGUGGGGAAUAUUGCACAAUGGGCGGAAGCCUGAUGCAGCAACGCCGCGUGCGGGAUGACGGCCUUCGGGUUGUAAACCGCUUUCGCCUGUGACGAAGCGUGAGUGACGGUAAUGGGUAAAGAAGCACCGGCUAACUACGUG
rnacentral:rRNA from 1 species